GCGCCCGUAGCUCAGCUGGAUAGAGCACCGGAUUUCUAAUCCGGAUGUCGCAGGUUCGAGUCCUGCCGGGCGCGCCA
rnacentral:tRNA from 1 species